rnacentral:rRNA from 1 species
UACGAAGGGGGCUAGCGUUGCUCGGAAUCACUGGGCGUAAAGGGUGCGUAGGCGGGUCUUUAAGUCAGAGGUGAAAUCCUGGAGCUCAACUCCAGAACUGCCUUUGAUACUGAGGAUCUUGAGUUCGGGAGAGGUGAGUGGAACUGCGAGUGUAGAGGUGAAAUUCGUAGAUAUUCGCAAGAACACCAGUGGCGAAGGCGGCACACUGGCCCGAUACUGACGCUGAGGCACGAAAGCGUGGGGAGCAAACAGG